rnacentral:lncRNA from 1 species
AGAAGAAGAAGAAGAAACGGUCAAAUUGGCCCUUGGAAGGGGCAAGGUUUUGCACUUUCCAAGAACUCUAUGGGCAUGGUACUAGUAAGUGCCAAGACACUAAUCGACGCCCUGAUCGAAGCAACCCACAUCCUUCCAGUUGGAGCGAAUAUCCUAGCAGAUCCACCUCCCCGAAUAGGGAAGAGAGGGGGCAUAGAGAGCAAUCACCUCGGAGAAGAGAAUUAAGGGCCGAGGCCAGUCUAGACAGAGAGAUCAGGCCCCAUUCUCUGGGAGCGAAGUCAUUAGGGAGAUCGACACAAUCAUUGGGAGACCUCACAUCAUUGGCAACACCAGGAAUGCCCAAAGGAAUUACACAAGGGAAGCAAAGGACCCGCCAAUGAUUACCUACAUUGUCAACGAGUCAUAAGCGGCCGGUAAGAUAGCCCCAAUCACCUUCUCCCAGGAAGAUGCAAAUGGAGUUCACCACCCCCAUUGUGACGCAUUCAUUGUAAGAGCCGUAGUGACUAGAAACGGACUCAAACGCAUGCUCUUCAACAAUGGGAGUUCCGUGAACAUAUUGUUCGGCUCCACUUUUGACAAAAUGCAAAUUGAACAUGGGUUGAUCCCCAUGACCGACCCACUAUUCGGAUUUACUAGAGACAACAUCGUCCCACGAGGGCGGAUCACUCUGCCCAUCGAGAUGGGUUCAACAUCUCUAGCGGCCCAACACUUCAUGGAAUUCUUAGUGGUGGACCACAGAAUGACUUACCAUGGAGUAUUGGGUAGACCCAUUUUGAAAGAUCUUUGGGCCGUCACUUCUAUCUACUACUUGUGUAUGAAAUUCCCAACUGAACAUGGGAUUGCUACGGUCCAAGGCGACCAGAUGGGCUUCAGGGCAGGUUACUUGAACUCUCUAAGAAAGUCAGAGCCCUGAACUAUUAACGUGAUCAUAACUAAAGUUGCCAAUGAAGCCAGUAUGGACGUGAAAAUGCUCGACGUCCCUGAAUAAGGGCAUACAUAUAAACAGGAGGAAGACGUCAACAUGGAAGAGGCCUCUGAACAAGGACACCCUCUUGAUGAGUUGAAAGAACUAGAGACUUUCUCCGCCAACCCAGUAGACCCUAGUCAGGUCUUGCGAAUAGGAAAGGCACUGCCCCCUGAAGUAAAAGAGGAGAUGAUAAGCUUCUUUCGCUUGGAAGCAUGAGGACAUGGUGGGGAUAGAUCUAAGGAUCAGUUGCUACCAUCUUAACAUCAACUCUUCCUGUGUCUCUCAUCGGCAGAAAAGACGUGCCCUCAAUCCAUAAAGGUAUGAGGCUCUCAAAAACAAAGUAGGCAAGCUUAGCUGUAGUGGAUUCAUAAGGGAAGCCACUACCCGAAGUAAAUAUCCAACCCGAUCCUGGUGAAAAAGUCCAGCAGAAAGUGGAGGGUGUGCGUAGACUUCACAAACUUGAAUAAAGCGUGCCCUAAAUACAGCUUCCCACUUUCAAGAAUAGACCAACUUGUGGAUUCCACUGCUGGACAUGAACUGUUGAGCUUCAUGGAUGUAUAUUCGAGGUACAAUCAGAUACCCAUGUUUCGACCUGACGAGGAAGCUACGUCAUUCAUCACAGACAGAGGACUCUACUACUACAAAGUAAUGCCCUUCGAAUUGAAAAAUGUCGGAGCCACAUAUCAAAGACUGGUUAACAUGAUGUUCAUCGAACUCAUUGGCAGAAACAUGGAGGUCUAUGUGGACGACAUGUUGGUCAAAAGCCUCCAGGCAAGUGAACACUUAAGUCACCUCGACCAAACCUUUCAGAUACUUAGAAAAUAUAAGAUGAAGUUGAAUCCCCUCAAGUGCACCUUUGGGGUGGCUUCGGGUAAGUUCUUGGGGUAUAUUGUUAACAAAAGAGGAAUUGAAGCCAAUCCAGUAAAGAUAACGGCCUUGCUAGAAUGAGAUCACCUCAGAAACCGAAGGAGGUCCAAAGCCUCAAUGGUCGAAUAGCCGCACUCAGUCGCUUCAUCUCCAGGGCCACUGAUAAGAGCUUACCCUUCUUCAAGGUGCUUAAGCAAGGAAAGAAGUUCUAAUGGACUUUUGAGUACGAAGAACCCUUCCAGGCGCUGAAAAAGCACCUCGGAGAGGCACCCCUUUUGUCAAAACCUCAACCAAAGGAGUCUCUGCUGCUGUAUUUGACAGUAUCGGAGUGGCGGUCAGCGCUGUUCUAGUUAGAGAAGAAAAUGAACGACAGUUGCCAAUAUACUACGUCAGUAAAGCACUACUGACAUGGAGAAAUUGGCACUUGCUCUCAUCAUAGCCUCGAGGAAACUGAGGCCAUACUUCCAAGCCCACUCGAUCGACGUUCUUACCAACUUCCCAUUGAAAUAGGUGCUGCAGAGAACAAACACAUCAGGACGCCUACAAAAAUGGGCAAUCGAGCUCAGGAAAUUCGACAUAUUGUUUCGACCUCGACAUGCCAUAAAGGGCCAGGCCCUUGCAGAUUGUGUGGUUGAGUUCGCCAAAGCCCUGGAAAUGGAGGCAAUAAUGGAACCAGCCGAACCCCCAACCUGAAAACUGUUCGUAGAUGGAUCCUCAGGAGAGGCAGGCUCCGGGGCAAGAAUAGUCUUGAAAAGCCCAGAGGGUCACAAGCUAAAAUGCGCAGUAAAGUUCGACUUCAAAGCCUUGAACAAUGCUGUCGAAUACGAAGCCCUUCUAACGGGCCUUAGACUGGCAAGAGAAAUGCAGGUCAGAAAGCUCGUGGCCAGCAGCGAUUCUCAGCUGAUAGUGAAUCAGGUCAGUGGACGCUUUGCGGCCAAAGAUAGCGACAUGGUCGCAUACUUGAAAUUAGUUCUGGACCUAGUCCCCCAGUUUGAAAGGUUCGAACUGAUUCAAGUCCCACGCCUAAAGAAUACACAUGCAGACGCCCUCUCAAAAUUGGCCAGCAGCAAGGAUUCUGAGUUAUUAAAAGUUGUCCCUAUUGAACACUUGGGUAAGCCCUCCAUUUCUAGAGGAGAAGAGGUAUUUUGGAUAGAAGGCACCCCAUUAUAGAUGCAGCCCAUCAUCGCCUAUCUAAAGGAUCAGACACUACCUACUUCCAGAAGCGAGGCAAUGAAGUUGAGGAGAAGGGCUGCGCACUUCGUCCUGAAAGAGGAUAUGCUCUACAAAAGAGGCUUCGCCUCACAGCUUUUCAGUUGUGUGGGAAGUGAAGAGGCCACAUAUAUACUUAGGGAAAUCCAUGAGGGAAUCUGUGGAAAUCACUCCGGAGGAGCGGCCCUGGCACACAAGGUUUUCCGUCAAGACUACUUCUGGUCGACCCUGCAAAGGGAUGCUUGCCAGUUUGUCCAAAAAUGUGACAAGUGCCAGUGUUUCUCGAAAUUCAAAGACAGCCUUCUCAGAACCUCUCUGUGGUAACCAGACCCUAGCCAUUCUCCAAGUGGAGCAUCGACUUCAUUAGUCCACUCCCUAAAGGAAGAGGAAGCGCGACCUUCAUCAUUGUCGCCAUUGACUACUUCACCAAGUGGGUCGAGGUUGAAAGAUUACCGAGGCAAAUACUACAAAAUUCGUCUGGAAAAAUAUCAUUUGUAGGUUCGGUAUUCCCCACUCCUUAGUGUCCGACAAUGCGAGACAAUUCGACAACAGGAAAAUGCAGAAUUGUGCGAUGAACUGGGGGUAAAAAAGGAUUUCUCAACGCCUUAUCACCCACAAGCAAAUGAACAAGUUGAGGCAGUAAACAAAACCAUCAAGCAUACCUUGAAAAGGAAGCUUGACACAUCAAAGGGGGCUUGGGUCGAUGAACUUCCCCACAUCCUCUGGGCAAUUCGAACCACAAGUCGAACUGCAACUGGGGAAACACUAUUCUCAAUAACCUACGGGGCCGAGGCUAUUAGCCCGGUUGAGGUCAGGGUCUCAUCACACUGUCGAGUACACUACAACGAGAUCAGUAACGACGAGGUCCGGGUGAACGAACUCCACCCCCUUAAAGAAAUGAGGGAUACCUCUCAGGUGAAUUUGGUAAAGUAUCAUAGGAAAAUGACCCGCUUUAUAACUCCAAGGUCAAAAAUCGAACUCUUCGCCUGGGAGACCUCGUCCUCAGGAGGGUCUUCCAAUCAUCAAAGCCAAUCGGGUCAGGAGUGUUUUGACCGAACUGGGAGGGUCUUUACCGCAUCCUCAAGGAAUCCCGACCUGGCACUUUUGAAAUUGAAGACAUGGCAGGGAAAGCACUACCUCAUCAAUGGAACAUCGAACACUUAAGGAAAUAUUAUCAGUGAUGAGGUUUUGUUCCGAUCCGAUCUCGAUGUUGUCUGAAAAGUGUGUGUCCCGAUCCGAUCUCAUUUGUAAUUUUCCUAUCUUACUGAGCGCUGAAAAUGCCUUGGUAAUGGAUAGUGUGACUUUUUAAAGUAUUGAUACUUCAGUUCUUUGUCAUAUGGGUUAUCAAAUUGUUACCUCAGUCCCUCAGUAUGAUUACUUAAGUGGUCCGAUCUUCUAUUUGUUGUCAAGAUGCGCCUGAUUAUUACUUAAGAGAUGCCUGAUUAUUACUUAAGUGAUCUGAUCUUCUGAUUGUUGUUAAGAGGUGCUUAGUCUUAAAAGUUUUUCAUUCAUAUAUGCAUAAACAGGUCAAUACGAUAAGAAAGUAGAAGCAAUAACACUUAGUAAAAAAAAUUUCAUUUCAUUCACUCCAAAUUUACAAGAGGCCGAAGCCAUUACAAAAUAAGCCCUACUCUACGGGAGGCUCCUCCCCACCAGCCUCUACCUUGCCAGCCUCGGGAACUGCUGGAGUGUCGUCUGCAAGCCUAUCAGGUCGGCCUCCAGUAGGUCCUCCGAACUCUGCCUCUAAAGAGGAGAUGUCCAAAGUAGGGUGGACCUCUUUCAACCGACCCAAUAUGCCUUGGGUACUCCAGGAGGCCCAGAAAUUUGCAAAGUCGUCGUACAGGGGAUGUUCCUCGAAGUGAUCAAUGAAAUUUUAAACAACCACUUCCCCUACCGACUUCAGUUCCUCCUUCAAGGAGACAAUUUCCUCAGACUGGGCCUCUGUCUUCUGCCUCAGCUCAGCUUUCUCUUUAUUGGAGGCCUCCAGAGCCUCCGUGGCGAGCCAAUGGUGCUCAUUGGCAUGAUCUACUCUUCGGGUUAUGGCAGCCACUUGACACUCCACUUUAUAGAGCUCAUUUUUCAGCCGCUCUAUGUCUCCUGCAGCAGCCGCCAGCUGGUCCUCGACCUCCGUAGGCUUUUCUAUCCCUCACCUUGUCCCCAUAUUGUAUCACCUCCUCAAGGUGCUUGGUGAGGUCUUCCCUCUUGGUGUUGAGGUCCUUGACCAAGCCCUCGAGCUGGAUGUUGGUACUCAGAGCUUGGGCCACACAGGCACUAUUGGCCGCCACCAAGUCUUUAGUUGUACAAGAGGCGGUGUGGUCCCUCCAUUCUUCAGGCCAAUACUUAUUGUGGACCACCGCCACUACAGCCUUUUUUGGGGAGAGAGCCUCGAGUACUUCUUUAACUGGCUCCUCGGAGUUCGAGCCCAAUAAGUCCACCUCCUUUAAAGAACGGGCUCUUUUCUUCUUAGGUUGUCCCGACACCUGGGCGAGAGGGACGGCAGCAACUGGCACCUUGGCCGGGGUAGGGGAAGCCUCUGAUGGUGCGGACGUUCUCUCCGCAACGGCCACCCCGGUAGGAUUGUGUUUUUUCCUCAGAACGGGGGGUGGCCUCGUCAUCGUUGGCUGCUUCGAAGGGGCAGCAGGUUUUUUGCCCUUUCGAAGCAGAUUCGCCUCAGGAUCCUCAGGCACCUCCUCCUCCGUCGGAGGCGAGAGCCUCUUGCUGGCAUCCACUAAGUCCUCCAUUUGCUUCUUGUAAGAGGAGGAGGAGGUCUUCAAGGCCCUUGCCUUGGCCAUCAUCUUCUUUAUUGUUUUGAAGUCGGGCCGGAGAGGCAUCUUCUUAUUAAAGUUAUAUGCAAGAAACAAGUAAGUUAGUACAAGUGUAAACGACUCGGAAAUAUUCAAAGGUAUUCGCUUCGAGACAUUACCUUGUGAGGCCAUCAGGUCAUGCAUCACAAAAUGGAGGUUCUUUCUGAUCAAUCGAUGGAACGACCUCUUCUUCAGAGGUAGUUAAUAGAUCACGUAGAUGAUCUCGAAAUAGUAGGAUGACAGUUCGCAUCGAGGAAGAGUGCCUUCAAAAAAUGAAUGCGAUUGUUAGUUAUAAUCCGAACCGAAGAGAAACGAAAAAGAAAUACAGCUACAAUACUCACUAAUUGUCGAGUACUUCGUGGAGACCGUAAGAGGUGCCAGGGGGUCCCCUUCCAUCAUGUCCCAUCUCCCGGUAACCCAGCACCACGAGCCCUUCCACUCCUUGAUGGAGCUCGGCAGAUCGAGCACGAAUAAAGUGUGGGAACACCAAGAGGUUAGGUAAUACCAGCCCCUGGUCUUAUCCCCCCGAAGAUCACGUAGAUGAUCUAGAAAUAGUAGGAGGAUAGCUCGCAUCGAGGAAGAGUGUCUUCAAAAAUUGAAUGUGAUUGUUAGUUAUAAUCCGAACCGAAGAGAAACGAAAAAGAAAUACAACUACAAUACUCACUAAGUGUCGAGUACUUCGUGGAGACUGUAAGAGGUGCCAGGGGGUCCCUUCCAUCAUGUCCCAUCUCCCGGUAACCCAGCACCACAAGCCCUUCCACUCCUUGAUGGAGCUUGACAGAUCAAGCAUGAAUAAAGUGUGGGAACACCAAGAGGUCAGGUAAUACCAGCCCCUGGUCUUAUCCCCCCGACUGUUACUUUUGGAAUAUAGAGAGUAUGAAAAUCAGAGAAGGGCAUCUCUACUCCUAAUGACGCCUCUUUCCAUAACAUCCAAGAGCCCACCAUCUGGCUCCAGGAGUUCGGAUUCAGUUGGGUCGGUGCUAAGCGGUAAAACCUAAGCACCAUCCGGAAAAAUGGGUGAAUUGGAAGCCUAAGGCCAGCCCUAAGGAUUGCCUCACUUAUCGCCACACACCCUAGCCUAGGGUAGCAGGCCCUCUCAUCAGGCUCAGGGAGAAUCAGGUCUAUGUUAUCCGGUAUCCUAUAUUCAGUCCUAAAUCUUUUUAGGUCGGCCUCCUUUAGCUUGGAAGGGUAAUCCGACGCCUCCCAAUGCACAGAGGUAUCUACUGUGCUAUCCGGCCUCUUCCAAAUAUUCUCCCCCCCAAGUAUCGCCUUGGCCACUUUGGAGGAGGUCGCCACAACGGGCUCGUCCAUCCGUACUAACUCUAGCCCCCUCUAAGAACUAGCACUACCCUCGAAAGCCAUUUUCAGAAAGGAAAUAUCUCAAAAUAGUUACUAAAACUUACGAGUUUGAAUGUUCCCCAGUCGAAAAUGGUCAAAAAGUGGUGUGUGGUCACCGAAAAAUCAAAGUUCUCACCAAAAAUGCUUGAAGAACGCCGAAAAUCGCAUAGAGGUUUGAGAGCAAUGGAUUUUCUGUUUUCGGAAAGAGUAAAAACUCUAAAAAUGCUCAAGUCCGCUUUUUAUAGAGCGUUCCAACUAAUCUCCAUCGUUAAACUCAAAUGCAACCAAUCUAGGCCGUCCAUCGCACCAUCAAUCUAGGCCAUUGAAAUAAAACGCCAGAUUUGAUCUACGCCUAAGAUAUUGAUGCUAUCCUCAUGCUCACACAUAACGCUUCACCUCAGUCACCACCAGGCGUCAACAAUAAGUAGCCACAACAACAUUUUAAGGGAAUUGGCGCUGCAUCCAACUGUCACCUUGGAAAUACACAGUAGCUGUCAAAUCACUUAACGUCAGAAACGCUCGCCUCGGAUCGAUCUCCUCACUCAACUUUACAAAGCUUAGGCGCACCUGACGCGGACUCCCCUGUGGGCCAUCGCCUCGAUCGCUACGUUCCCUCCUAAGAUUUACAAAGUUUUAGCCAUCUCCUAACACGUUGUACCCUGUGGGUCAGCGCACUGGUGGGAGAUAAGCUCCUCUCUCAACUUUACAAAGUUUAGGCGCACCUGACGCGGAGUUCCCUAUGGGUCAUCACCUCGGUCGCUGCGUUCCCUUCUAAGCUUUACAAAGUUUUAGCCAUCUACUAACGCAUCGUCCCCAGUAGGUCAGCGCACCGAUGGUAGAUGAGCUCCUCACUCAACUUUACAAACCUUAGGCGCACCUGAUGCGGAGUCCCUUAUGGGUCAUCGUCUCGGUCCCUGUAUCCUCUCCUAAGUUUUACAAAGUUUUAACCAUCUCCCAACACGUCGUCCCUUGUGGGUCAGCGCACCGGUGGUAGACGAGCUCCUCACUCAACUUUACAAAGCUUAGGUGCACCUGAACGGGAGUCCCCUGUGGGUCAUUGCCUCAGUCGCUGCGUCGUCCAGCCCGUUAGCACCUCGACCUCACAUAAAUUUUUUCCCUCACACAGUGGUGAAGAUUUAGCGCAUCUGCCUAUUAUCAACGCUUCGGUGAACACAGUAAAUCGACCCUCCAGUUCUCACAAGUCACGGUUUCCAUCCCGAGGCGCACAUACCCAAUCGGGAAGACAAGUCCACCCAUGAUAUAAAUAUUUAUACCUAGACUUGGGGGACCACUGUUACGCCCCUAACUGAACCACUUCGGAAAGUCCCCCACCACAUUAGGUGAGGUGUGGAAUGCUCAUCCGAAGUGGUUCCCCUAAGUGGUUCCGAUGUGACUUUACCAAUGGAGAUGAUCUGCUAUCACACUAAGAGACAUAGGUAAUUCUACAGGACUGAUCGAAGCGCCCUAGCCCCCUGAAUCCGAGACAAAAUGAACUGAGGAUCUGCCACCGAUUUCAGAAUGAGAUCUUGGUUAAGAUCUUUUCUGCCCCAAAGGUUUAAAGUGAUUUGACGUCUCCAUUAGGCUAGUUGAUGUGACCUAUCAACUUUAUGUCAACUCUGGAGAAGUAACUACCUGCCUACUCUACAGACGCGGCUAAUUGACGCUUAUGAGCAGAUGCCUGAUACCUUUCAGAUGUAUACACGUGUCUCACAUCCAACGGCUCUCCUCGCCUAUAAAUACCCAAGGCUUGGCAAGAGCUAAAAGUAAUGAAACUCUUCCUAUUUAGUACUCCAUAGCAAGCAAAUAUAUAUUCUCCUCCCCACUAUUUUGCACAACCUUGGUACUAUUCUGAUCACCUGAGUCUAACUUGACCAUCGAAUUGUAUACGGCCGCUGUUACCUCCGCUGGUCCCGACCGUGUGCAUCUGACUGUGCAUUGAUUGUGUGCAGAGAGGAAUACGUAGAGUGGCUAUCGGUUGGCCACGUGGAGGGUCCAAUUUCCGAGGUCAACACAUGGCAUCAUCAUUUAUCUCAUCAUCUUCCCACAAUAGUGAAAUCUUCCAAACUAUUCUAAAUUAGGUCUAAGGAUGUAAAAUAUAAUGAUUUUAGGUUUACCAUUUAUGGUUUAUUAUUUCAACAUAUCCCAUUAUGAAAUCCACUUGUUCCUACAUAGUGCUUAACUUAAUUUUUCUACUCAAUAUAUAUUAAACUUCACGUGGAAAAUGACAAAUUAACCUAAACUUAGUGAUGUCACUGGGUCGACCCGAGUCGGCUCGGCCCUUAACCUCACGAGCUCGGCUCGCACUCGUGGCGAACUGAGCUCAAGCUCGACUCAUUGAUUUUGGGUGAGCUCGGCUUGUUCGCGAGCUCGUCAUUUUUUUAAAUAUAGAAAAAUACAAAUAAUGUAAUGAAGACACUUUUUAAAAAAAAAAUAAAGUGUUAAAAAAAAUACAACUAAUUUAAUGAAGACACCUUUUUUGUUUCUAUCAUAUUGUAAUAUUUUUUAUAAAGUAUAAAAUAUUUAUGUAAUAAAGACAAUUAUUUUUUGAAAUACAUUUACAAAAAAUACAUUUUUUCGGUUUUUUAUAAAGUAGAUAAAAUGUAAACACUCCUCCUUUAUCCGGGUUUGGGACUGGCUACAUCAAUUUUAAGUAGGCGGAGUUAAAAAUUAUACACAAACAACUUGUUGUAACAUGUACAAUUUUUUAAAGAAAAUUAAAUUUAAUGAAUAAAAAAUAAGAAAAUUUUGAUUAAUAUAAUUAAAUUAAAUAUCACUUACCUAACGACAUGCAAUUUUAGUUUAUUUAUCUUGUAGUCGAAAAUAAGCAUCCUGCCAAUCUUUCACGCACAUUAACUCUUCCAAAACAUCUUCUUUUCAUUCGGCUCCUGAUAUCGGUCAAAACCCUUUUACCUGCUCUAAAAGCAGACUCCGAAACAACAGCGCUAACCGAAUGUGUCAGCAGAUCUUUCGUAAUUGCAGAAACAAUUGGCCAAUUUCUUUCAUACUUUCGUCAGAAUUCAAUUACUUCUUCUGAAUUUUUUAAUUGUUCUGUUUGUUGGCAUAUUAUGAUUAAAGCAAUAUAUUAAUUUGGCGGGCAUUCCAUUUUGAGUUGCGGCCGAUGUUUGAAGAGAUGCAAAUGUAGACGACAUCGCACAAGAUGAACAUGUUGCAAUUGCAUCAUAUCUAAAUAUAUUAAUGCCUUGAAAUAAAUUUAUUAUUUCGACAUCAUCUUCUUCAAUUUCAGUCGAACGAAUAGGUGCAGAGGGUACCCAACUAACAUUCAUACCCAUUCUUUCUGUAUAUAAAUCAUACAUUCCACAUAAUGUUUGCUCUAAAUUUUUAUAGGUGAUAGGUAUAUCAAAUAUUAAGACUUUAUUGAUCUGAUCAAUUACGUAUUUAGCUUUCGAAAUAUUAUAUCUGGGGUCCAUUGCGCAUGCUAAACGAAAUAACAUAGGCAGUUCUUCCCAAUAUUUUCUAAACUUUAAUUCCAUAACAAUUAUAAUUUUAUUAAAAUCAGGAUCAUUUUUAUAUUUAUGGAAUGUUCUUACAAUUAUAUAAAAGCAUUCAAGCACCAUACAGUUUGAGGGAUAAUAAACGCCUGAUAAAAUCUUUGUGGUUUCAUAAAAAGAUGUCAAAAAUCGUUUAAUUUUUAAAGCUAAAAUCCAAUUGGAUUAAUUCAACAUACGAUCGUAAUCGCUUCUAACAUUUCUAUUGUUAUAAAAUUCAGUUAUUAAAUGUUCAAAAUCUUCACAUGACUUUAAUUGCAAGUAAGUGGAGUUCCAUCUAAGAACUACGUCGCUAACAAAUGUUUUAGCAGUCAUCACCCCUCAUUCGGCACAAAAAUCUUCAAAUGCUUAUUUUCUACUAGAAGAGAUCGUAAUAUAUACUAAUGCAUUCCUAAUCCUUUGAAAUUCGUCCUUUAUAUGUUUUAAACCAUCUUGUACAAUUAAAUUCAAGAUAUGGCACAAACAACGAAUAUGAAACAAAUACCCACCAAAAUCAGGUUGAAGUACCCUACACAAUUUAUCGUCGACUACCUUAUUAACACUAGUAUUACCAAAAGUAAAAGACCGAAUUCGUAAUUAUAUUCUCUAACAAUACUUAUAAUAGCAUUAUAUAUAUUAUAGCACUGUAAAGAAAUUCAAUAAUUCUAAAAGCAAUAAUUUUUUUAUGCAUGCACCAAAGUGGAUUUAUAUAGUGUGCGGUUGCAACUAUAUAUACUCUUUUAUUAACCCUUCCCAUAUAUCAUAAGCUAAAGAUAUAACACUCCCAUAUUGUUGCAAAUCCAUAAUUAAUUGUUAUUUUGAAUUAUUGAAAUAUUGUAUUGUAUUGGCACGAAGACUGUUUCGACUUACCCUAACGUACCUUGGUAGCAGAUAUUCUCUUACGAACGAGACAAAGUGUUGGUUGUCAGCAAUAGCCAGAGUCAAUUCAGUGGCGGCAACAAAUUUCACCAUUCCGGUUCGAGUAUUGCCCUCCAAAUACACCUACGUGGAUAGGGAUGAAGUCGUAGAACUGGCGCCUAGACUGCCAAAUUGUAAUUGUGUUUGACCAGCUGGAAGAAAUCUAUGUCUGGCCCCACAUGCUUUGUAGUGACGGUUGAGAUGGGUGGUACCAAUUCCUUUUUGUCAUUCCAAUCUUUGUUGACAGUAUUUACAUACUGCCUUAGAUUCUACAAGGUCAUCGACGACUUUUCUCGUUGAAAUCAACUUAAAGUGAUCCCAACAUUUUACUUGUUUUUUCCCUUUCGCUUUUCUCUCGCAUCUGGGAUGUUUAAUUCGACAUCUUCGUCCUCAUGUUCCACUUCGAGAUCGUUAAUAUCAACUAAAACAAUUGAUUGUGGCUUCCAUGAAUGUGAGUGUGAACAUCUUUAAUUAUGGGUACGUCAUUUAGACCGACAAAUUCAUUUGAAAAUUGACUUUGCGACGUCCUAGGCAAUUCGCCAUGUGGCCCACAUCCGUAUCGAAUAAGCUCUCAACAAAUGAGUUUUGUUUGAUUGUUUAUGAUGAAAUCCAAAUAUAAUAACUAGUAAAAAUAUAAAUGCAGUGAGAAUUGAGAAUUGGAUGAAUCGAAAUUAUAACUAAUUAAACUAUAAAAAAUGAAUCGAUAUUGUAUAUUUUGUACAACAACACAAGAGAGUAAAAACUCGAUAACUGAUAUAAAAGAGAGUUGAGAAAUGAGAAAUGAGAAUGAGGAGAUAAUUGAUAUGAAAAAAAUGGGGAGUUAGGAAGGUAUUUAUAAUAGAAAAAAAUAUUUAGUAAAUGGUCACUGAAAAAUGUGACCAAAAUGGUCACUUUUUUCCCUCAUUGCCAGCCUUGCCAACCAAUUCACUCAAGCACACACAAAGAAAAUGUUUUUGGAAUUUUCAUUUUUUUGUUUUUUUUUCUAAUAUCUAAAUAAAAUACAUACAAAACACAUAAAACAAAAGAAUACUCAUGUUUUCCACCCCUAAACUUGAACUAGAUAUUGACUUUAGUGUCUUAAAUCCUAAGUCCUAUAUAAAGGCAUGGGGAAGAAAAUUAAGAAAAUAAUUCCCUAAUAAAAUCCAAUGGCUACAUUGCCCUAUUGCUCUCGUUAUCUCCUUGGUCAAUGUUGGUUUAAGUGUUCCGCAACGUCAUAUUUUGUACAUUGUAGUUAGAUUAAACAUUAAAUAUCAAAUUCUUGAAACAAGUGUUACUUAGCUCAAAAAUUUACUAAAGCAACUAACAUAUUAAGGACCUAUGAGAAAAUUGGGUGUGGAUAAUGAUUCCCUAAAUUUAAUAAAAAAUAAAUAAAUCUAUAUUAUCUUAAACUAUUCUAAAUUUAAAAGCAGAAUAAAUAAAAAUGAUAGAAAUGUUGGGUUACCUCACAACAAGCACCUGUCUAAAGUCCUUAGCUCGACUAAUGUUGUUUUUAAGUUUUUAUGGUACUUUGAAAAAGGAAAUUUUCAAUCCUGCAUUUCAGAUACUAGUUACACUUCUUCGAUUCAUCCUUGACUCUCCACACAAUCAAGUUUUCAUUUUUGUCCCUAUCAACAAUUUCACUUUUAUCUGGCCUAUAUUUGUAGUUCUCACAAUGGACCACUUAUUAGCAAUCCUUAACGUAGCAAAGUUGCUUGAAUAGAUUUUUCAUGUUGCCUAUCCUCUACCCUCAAAACUAUCUCAUUUGUAUCAAAAUCUAGCAAGGCUCAGCUUGUAGACUGGCCUUCCUAGGAUUAUUAGCAUCUGAUAUGCCUCUUCUAUAUCCAGAAUGACAGAGUCGGCUAUAAAAAUAAACUUUUUCUCCUUGAUAAGCAUGAAUUUAACUAUUCCAUAGGCGUGUUUCGAUGGUCUAUCAACUAGCUGAAGGAUAAUAGAGGCCACCUUCGGUUCUUCCAAUUCCAAUUUUCUACAAAGAUACAAAAGAAUUAGAUUUUAUGCUUGCUUUUGAAUCAAUCUAACAAUUUAUAUUAUUUAAAUUUCCUAUGGAGCAAUGCAAAGUAAAAUUCCAUGGAUCUUUUAGUUAGGGAGGAUCUUAUGCUAGAUAAUCAUGCUACACUCUUCAGAUAGUCCUAUCGUUUCGUGCUUAUGCAAUUUUUUCUUUCUAGUAAACUUUCCCUUCAAAAACUUGGAAUAGUUUGGGAUUUGAAGGAUCGCACCAAUGAAUGGGAUGUUGACAUGUGGCAUUUUGAGGACUUCAUGAAAUUUAGUAAACUGUCUCUCUAAUUUGAUGUUUUGUAGCCUUUGAGAAAAAAUGAGUAGAGGUGUGAGUGAAGUGCCAAGAAUGUUGUUUAAAGUUAUGGAUUGUUUUAAAUUAUUUGUUGAUCUUACUAUGUUGCUUCUUAAGAUUGCUUCCCCUAUGCCCUGUUCUUAGUAGAUACUUGUGCACUUUCCAUCUGGUAGUGAUUCCUGAACCUGUUCAUCUUUUGUUAGCUGCCUCAUUAACCUCUAAGAGAAUGGUAUGCACAUAAGCCUUGAUCGGGAUGACGGGAAUGAAUGAUGGUGGCAUUUUAAUCUCAAAAUUCACUGCCUCAAUUGCUAGUAUUUACUCCCACAGAUUUUUCUUUGUGUCACUAGGUAAGGUACCACACGGUCUGUUAGCUAAUGCAACUGCUACUUGUCCAGCUUGGUUAUCUAAGUUAUUUAUAGAUGCAUGUUAAUUCUACAUUGUUAUCUCAGUCUUGGUGAUGUACUUGACAAUUAGAUCCUCAAAGAAUUGCCUAUUUUUUUCUUGUUGAAUCGCUAGUGGAUUGUCUCUAAUCUGAUUUACUUGAUCCAAUUGAUCUAUCCACGCAUAGUUAGGAUACUUGUUCAUGCCCAAAUGCUAGUUGUGUUGGUAAGGUCGAUUUUGCCUCUGAUAGCUAUGUCCAUAAUUGAUCUCUGUUGGCUAACCCUUGUGAGUUAAAGCCAAAGGCCAAUUUGUUGUGAUGUGAUCUACCCCAUAUUCUAUGCAAACCAGAGCUGGAUAUUGUACCAUGUACAUAGAUUGAGUUAAAGUAUCAAGCUUCUUCAUUAUUGCUUUUAUCUGUGCUGCUAAUGUUGUCACUGUGUCCACAUUAUGCAUCAUAGCUGUCUUCUUUGGAUCCUUCUUGUCUGUUGGCUAGUUUCCUGGAUUCUCAACACUCCUCUCAAAUAGAUUAUGUGCUUCAUCCACCACAAUCAUCAAAUCUGAUCCGCCUGCCGAAGCAUAGCCAAUAUUCCAAAAUACUGAGCACAAUUCAAUGUAGAAGAGAUAUAUUUGUGUCUGUUUACGGAAGUCAAGAUUUGGACACUUCCUAAAUGUGCUUUUGAACUUGUCCAAUGCUUCCGAAUAUGACUCAAAGUCAUACUUCAUGAAAAACCCAUUUAUAUAGAUAAUCAUACACUUACCUCUAUAGAAAAUAUAAAAAAAUAAAAAUAAAAAUUGACAACUUGACCUAAGCAUACAAUUUCCCUAUAUAUAUAAUGAAAUAAGCAUCUUUUAUAACAAGGUCUAUGUAUAUCGUCACCUAAUCACCUAUAAUGUUCAUAUAGUAUAAUAGAACAAAAUAUUAUAUAACCAAAUUUCAACAUAUUUACAUUGAGGAUACAAAAAGUAUCUACCAUACUAUUUUAAAAAUUAUACUAUUUUAAAAAUUAUACGUGUACCAUACAUGAUUUCCAAAAUAUAAUAUAACAGAAUAUACGACCAAAAAAGCACACAAAAUAAUCAUACAGGUCAUCAUUCGUGUACAUUGAACUUCGAAAUCCCGUAAGAGCUUUACAGCUAACUGUAUUUUUUUAUGAAGUUCCACGACCACCUACAAUGCAAGAAGUACAUAAGCCAACGUCAAAUAACUAAAAAUCAUGUAUGCUAUGAGUUUAAGUAAUAUGAGUACAUACUGCCAUGCUAUUUCUUUGAAACAUCAUGCUAAAAUAUAUCAUAUUCAAAUAUUCAUCAAAGUACCUCAAAAUAGUUACAUUUGAAAUCUUUUCAUUUCAUUCGAGCUCUUGGCCUAUUAUGCAUCGAAUAGAGCUCGAUGCAAUAUCAAUAUCAAUAAUUAAUAAUCAAAUGGCCAAUAUGUAUCGACACAGUCAAGUGGACCAUGCUCUUGACCAUUAGAAGUAAUCCCCUAACUGUCCUUAUGAUCACUCAAGAAGUAUUUCACCCACGGAGUCAAUAAUCAUAAUAUCACAAAGUUACAGUCAAGUGGUCUACCCACCCGAGAUCAUCAAAGAUACAUCCCCUAUCUAUUCCUGCGAUCAACCGGAAAGUCUCACCCGCGAUACUAAAAUAUAUCACAUAAGCAUAGUAGUGGCCAAUAAAAUAUUUUAUAAUUUAAAUUCAUUUUUCCAAUCAUGUUGUACAUAUAAAUGCUAAAGCUCAUGAAUGGCAUCCUCAAUCAGUAUAUUUCGGAGCCACAUGCUUAGUCAUCAUAACCACCAUAUGGUAUGUCAUGAUCUCCUUAUCAAGGUCAUGUAAAUGUUACAACAAUACUCUACAGAAAAUAUUUUAUGAAUACUAUAUUCUUGCAUCAUAGUUGUAAAUGAAUUUUUAUUUUUUGUUUUGGAGUACAAUUGGUAACUUGAAGUAAUAACAUUAUCUGAACUAUUUUGGCAUCGACGUUCAUGGUAAGGAGUUUGGUGUGUGUGUGUUAGAGUUAUCGAAUUCAGGAUGGUGUUUAAUAUUAGUUGGUAAUACAGGUUGUCUUCUUACGUUUGGUGAAAAGGGGACUUGAUCUACACUCAUAGAAAGAUCACACGCAAAGCAAAAAGUAAUAUUAAAAGGUAAGAAGACAACUUGUGAUCUUUCUACAAGUGUAGAUCAAGUCCCCUUUUCACCAAACGUAAGAAGACAACCUGUAUUACCAACUAAUAUUAAACACCAUCCUGAAUUCGAUAACUCUAACACACACACCAAACUCCUUACCAUGAACGUCGAUGCCAAAAUAGUUCAGAUACUGUUAUUACUUCAAGUUACCAAUUGUACUCCAAAACAAUCCCAGAAGUUCCAUUAUUUUCUUAGUCCAAUCAUAAAUGUCGACAUUAUCUAAAUGUUUCUAAUGACCUGACACUUACUAAAAUCAAUUUUCAAGCCUUAGAGAUGCUUAAUGCACAUAUAAAUGUUAAAACUACGCAAAACUACCAAAUUUUUUGAGUUUUAGUUACUGCCAUGUCUCAUUUCAUCCAUCUUUUCACAACUUGAAUCACAUUCAUUCAUUCCAAAAAUUUUAUCACGUUGUAUAAUAUAUAUGUGCUAGUAAAUAUGUUAUUAAGUUACCACAAGUAGAGGAUUUACAACCUGGAAAUUAGUUCCUUUUAUUGAACACCGAAUCAGAAUUUCGUCAUGGCUAUUUUGAGUUUCAAUUUAACUAGACUUUCAAAAAUUGGAUUGUCCAAAGAAAGCGUAGGUAAUAGUCGACUACACUCGUACAUGUAUAGGAUUUACAUGAUCCCUUACUAAUAUAGUUUGAACCGGAAGUGGUUGCUAAACUAGAAGUGCUGUUUUCUGAAAUGCAUCUUGAAUCUGAUUUUGAUUUUCAACCAUUAUCCUUGCUCUUUUCUGUUAUGUUCAACGUUGCUUGGAGGUCUUUUCGAUCUUAGGAUCUAUAGAGAGGAUCUAAAUAUCACUAGGAUCUUGCAUAAACUAGUGAAAACCUGCAAAGAGUGAAACAAAAAGAGAUAAGGUAUUUUAAUUAAAGCCUAAAAGAACCAAAAAGAAAAAGAAAAAAUCGAACUUAAUCUAAACUAUUAAACUAAAAUUAAAUUCAUUAUUCUCUAACAACAGCAUAAAAAAACUUGUUUGGACAAACCCACAAGCGUAUGUAAUCUCUGUAUACGUAGUAGAAACGGUACAUUUAGAGCUUAUCGUUCCUACGAGAAAUAAAGUCCAAUGUUUAGUUCAAUAAUUUUUACUAAACUCAAGUGUGCGCGGCAUCAAGAAAGUGAUUUGUUUGGUUUUCUAUACUAGUUUUAAUUUGUUAAAACAAUAAAAGUGAUGUUUUUCAAAUGUGAGAUGCUUGUAUUGAAAUCCAAAAUUCUCGUAUUGCCAUUAGUUUCAACUCUUAGUUCAUAAUAUAGUUAAUUUCACAUAUUUCGACAAUCGAUAACACUAAAUUAUUCAAUGCUAAUUUUCAAGACACACAGACCUAUGAUUAACACGGUUCGAACUUGUUCUUAGCCUGAAUUUGUAUGAAAAUCAUGUAUUUAGUUUAUGUUAUCUAAGUGAUUAUAUGUGUUAAAGAGGUUAUUCAUAAUUGUAAAUACACAUGUUAGUUUUUCUACGUUCCAAACUCAUUUUGAGUUUUCAUAACUACAACAAGCAAUUUAUUAUCUGAUUGGCAACUAAGCAAUCAAAUAAUUAUGAUGGGAAUGCAAAACUAAUCAAGAAAUGCAAAAAUAGUCGUCUUGAAUAAAAUAAAUGUGCAAAAGGGUUCAUCAAUCAUCUAAUAUAAUGAAGAAAUGUAGCCUAACAUCCUGGAGAUUGAAUUAUACACGACAAAACGUUAUAAUAUCAUCCGGAACAAAGAAUUAUGGAAGAAAGUGUUGAUCUAAAUGUUGAAAAUAGAUAAACAAUCUUACAAUAAUCUACCUUUGAAAUUGAUGAUUGGCCUCGUUCUUGGCCUCCGAAAUAGAAGGCCAGUUUCUUCACUUUACAACAUUAAGUUGCAUGUACCAGUCAUAUAAACUUCUACUCCAUGUCCAUCAUUUGUAUAUAUCUAUUUUGUGUCAAGUCAAAGACUUGACAAUAGACUAAAAUCACUUCUUGAUCUCAUAUAAAGUAAGUUUCUAGCUCUUGAAUCCAAUAUCUACACAAGACAAAAUCCAAUAUAUAUAGUGUUAAUACUAAAAACAACACCAAGAGGAACAUAUUCAAUGUAGUUUUUUAGCUCAACUCAUUUCGAGUUAACAGAUUCAAAUCAUAUGAUUGAAACACUUGAAUCUUUAUAAUAUUGAUCAUCUACUAAAAUCACUUUCAUGCACUUACCGUCUGAUAUAUUCUUCUUGGACAAUUUUUCACUCUCCCCAUCUAUCCCACACUUAUUUUAACUCAUUUAAUACUUAAGAUCCGAAAUCUUAUGCAAAUUAAAACAUUGUUACAUAAGCAUGUUCUUGAAACUCAACAACAUCAAGUCACACGUCUUUCAACUCACAUAGCGAGUAGAGUCAAUAGAGAAAAUUAACGCUUCAAUUCAAAGUUUUCAUCUAUAGAGAAGAGACUGGUUUAAACUUACUACUCACCAAAAACAAUGUGAAAUAUAUAUAUAUAUAUAUAUAUAUAUAUAUAUAUAUAUAUAUAUGACCAAGAAAAAUAUCAAUACUAUGCUAACCAUUUCAACUAAGUCAAAUUCGAGAAAAGAUCAUCCAUAACAGAACUUAACAAUUCAAAUACUCAAGCACCAGAAUUUGUCUUUUCCCAUACUUGACAAAGUUCUGAUCAUUAUUCUCUAGAGUAGUAUGUCUUACAUUAGGUCUAAUAUUGUGUGGUUGAUGCUCUCUAUAGCAUCACGUUUUUCUAGUACACUCAAAAUCUCAUCAUGCCAAAUAUUAUUCCAUUUAGCUAAUGACCUUUAAUAAGACAACAAUUAUGGAUUUUGAUGCCAUGAUAUAUCAGAUUUUAGAGACAUUUUUAUUCUUAGUCAAUACCCAUUUAUACACACAUACAAUUUCACAUUAACUCAAUUAAUGCAUAUGAUAUGUAGGUCUAAUAUUGUGUGGUUGAUGCUCUCUAAAGCAUCACGUUUUUCUAGUACACUCAAAAUCUUAUCAUGCCAAAUAUUAUCGUAUUUAGCUUAUCACCUUUAUAAGACAAUAAUUAUGAAUUUUAAUGCCAUGAUCUGUCAAUUUUAGGGACAUCAUUUUCAAUACCUAUUUAUCACAUAUACAAUUUCACGUUAACUCAAUUAAUGUAUAUCAUAAUUCAACAUUAAGCACAGAGUCGAAAGUUCACUAUGUUCCCAAUCAUCGCCCGCAAUUCUAUUGUUUCACUAUCAUAGAACUAAUUUCAUAAUGCAAAAUUCCAUGAGUCCUAAGUUAGAAUUAUAUUAAUUCAUCCAACUUGAGAACUUCCACUCAAUUGGUGAAUUAAAUAGUUUUAAGUGAGAUUUUCUAUAAAUCUUUCAACUAUCACUCAAGUGACAAACCAAUAGGUUGAAGUAGAAAUCUCAUUAAUUCUACUGACCUUAAUAUUCAUAACAAUUUACGAAUUAAUAGAUAUCAUGUAAUUUAAUAAGGUAAUUAAAUUAUGUGCAAUAAAAGUAUAAACAUGCAAAAUUAUCCAAUUAUGACAUAUACUAUGAUAUCACAAAUUAAUUCUUCCAGAAAAUAAAUCCAAUUACAAUAGAAAAAUAAACUCACAUUAUUUAAGUUUUAUUAUACAAAUUUUCAACCGCACUUUAAUAUCCACUACAAAACAAUCCUAACAAAUGAGAAGUGACAUCAGAAUUCUCAUAGAAAAAAAUUAUACAAAAAUUAUUUACAUGUUCAAUUAAGUCAUGUUCCAGAUCCAUUUACCGAUUUCAACAAGCACGUAACUUUUCAACAAGUUCCAUAGCCUUUGUUUUUUUAGCAUUCCCUUCAAGGAUACUAUAACUGUGCAUUGAUUCAAUAAUAUCUGAUCAAGCACAAAAAUAAAAAACAAGUUAUAAUGGAUCACAUUAUCUAAUCAAAGACCCACACAACUCAGGAAAGUAUAUAAACAUGGUAUGUUAAAUACUUUUGAAAUAUUUUUCAUUUUCAAAAAGGGAAAAAAAAUUAGAGUACUUCAAAAAAGUAACUCUCACCAGACAAAUAACACUUAAUAAAUAUUCUUGAUUUAUAAAAAAUAUAAAUAAAAAUUAAAACUUAAUCAAGUCAAAAAAAAUAUUUUUAAUUCUUUUCACAAAUUUAUUUUAAGCAUUAAAUAAUAUAUAUAUAUAUAUAUAUAUAUAUAUAUAUAUAUAUAUUUUUUUUUUUUUUUUUUUUUUUUUUUUUUUUUUUUUUUUUUUUUUUCACCCAUAAAGAAACUAUUUAUCCUAAAUAAAUUUACUUUUAAGCAAGAAUCAUUUUUCCUCACUCCGUUUGGUUUGUUGCUAGAUCCACUCGAAGAAAGCAACAAACAGUAACCUAUAAAUGACUAUUUAUAUAUAUAUAUAUAUAUAUAUAUAUAGAGAGAGAGAGAGAGAGAGAGAUUAAUCAUCCUAACUAAUUUUGACGUUCUGAGUUCAUAUGGUCAAAUUUUAAAAAAUUGAUUUCUUUAAGGUCACGUUUAGGACAUCAACAGAUCCAUCUAGGAGUGAAAAUGACAACAAAUUCAUGUAAAAUUUCUAGACUUUUGAUCAAAUUUCAAGAGGUCAUAACUUCUUCACUUCAAGGCCAAAAUUAAUGAUCUUUAUACCGUUGAAAUAGUCUUUGAAAAGAUCUAUUGAAUCAUACUAGAUAGAAGUCAUGAAAUGCCGCAUAAAAGAAGUUAUCAUAUGAUGAAAUUUCGAAUUUUACAAAUUUUCAUACAAAAAAAAAUCAUAUUUAUAUCCAAACUUCGACAGGGCAUAACUUCUUUAUUCCAAAGUGAGGAUGUCAAACCGGCUCAAGCAGCACGUGGCUCAGGCGGCUCGAGAAAAGCCUGAGCCAGUUCGACUUAUGGCUCAAGCCGAGCCCUAUUGUAGGGUUAACGAAUCGAGUCGAGCCGACUUGUGAGCUAAAACUCAAGGUUCGAGCAAAAUCAAAUAGACAUUUUCCAAGCUCAAGCCAAGCAGGACAAAAGCUUGGCAUAAAAAAAAAAGGCUUGGUCAAAGCUUUCGGCUCAGGCCUUAACGAGUCAAGCCAAGCUAAGCCCGAACCCUACAGGCUUCUUCUUCCUUAUUUUUUUUAUUAUUUUUUUUAUUUUUUUUAUAGUGACAAUUAAGAAUCUAAUUCUUUUUAAAGAAUUUAAAAAUUGCAGUGUAUAAGAGUUAAAAAUAAAAUAAAAUUAUAACUUAUAAAAUUGCGUAAUUUAUACAAAUUAAAUAAAAGUUAUAACUUACAACCUUCCUUUUUUCGGGGCUUGGGACCGGCUGCAUGACGUAGGCGGUGUUAAAAUCAUACACGAAUAAAAUAUUUCGUGUACAAUUUUUCUUGAAAUAAAUAAAUUUAAAAAUUACAUUAUUUUUAAAACAAAUUAUUUUAAAAACUUAAAACAUUCAAUAUUUGGAUCUGCUACAAUCGACAAUUAUACUGUCAACAUGUUCUUGAACAUGUAUUUCCCCACAUUCUCAAUCCUUCAAGCAUAUUAAAGCCUCCAAUAUAUCUUCUUUUAGUGUUGGAAUCUUCGUCUAAUAAAAUUCGACAAUCUAAACUGAAUACAGCCUCUGAUGCUACCACAGACACUGGAGGUAUUAGUAGAUCACGUGCAAUUUUUCAUACAAUUGAAUACUAAUUUUUGUUAUACCUCCACCAAUUUAAAAGACUAAAUUCCUAUAAUUCUUUUGGUUGUAGCACACUACGAACGUCCACGAACAUGUACCAAGCUAACUUCGAGGGAAUUUCAAAAUUUGUACCACCGAUAUUUAUUGCUCUGGACAUUGAUAAACUAGAACUAAAUGACAGAACACUUGUAUUGCUUUCCAAAUAAUUCCAUAAAUUGUCUGAAUUUGAUGGAAUAUUUCUUGAAAAAAGUACAUUGGGAAGUAGAACUACACUGACAUUCUUUUUUAGCAUAAUAAUUAUACAUUUCAUAUAAUAUAGAUUCUACAUGCACAUGUGAUAAUUCCACAUUCAUGAAAUUUGAAAUCCCCUUUACUACUUUUGUGCCAGUCAAAUUAAGUCGAUGGUCCAUUACUGAAACUAAAAUAAAUAAAGAGGACAACUAUUCCUAAUAUUUACAAAAUUUUAGCUCUAUAGAAUAGACUACGUCACAAAAAAUGGCAAAUUCCUGUAUUAAUGAAAUGUUGAAAAAAUAUUCUAAAACAAGUAAAGAUGUGGGGUAAUAAACACCGCUACAUUCUUUUGUAGUAUCGUAAAAAGAUUUAAAGAAUUUUUUCACGUGAAAUGCAAUAUAACAUUCUCAAUCUUCCAAAUUAUGUUCAGGUCUGUAUAUAUGCUUAUCAUUAUAAUAUAGUGAAAUCAUUUUAUCGUAAUUUUCCCACGAAUGUAACAUAAAAUAUGUAGAGUUCCAUCUAUAUGUUACAUUAGUGGCAAAUAAUUUCUCUUGUAAGCCAUACUCUACAUAUAAACUGUUAAAUGAUUACUUUCUUGCUAGUGACACGAUAAUAAAAUUUAUUACUUGUUUAAUUUUAUCUAAAGAUGAACUUAUAUAUUCUAAUUCAGCUUUUACAAUCAAAUUGAUAAUAUAGCAUCACAACGUUGAUGAAAAAAUAAACUUCCAAAUGUAGGGUUAAGAUCAUUAAUAAAUCCUUCAAUAACACCUUUGUUCGCACUAGCAUUAUAAAAAAUAAAACUUUGAACCAUAUCUUAUAUGCUAUAUUCAUCUAUGAUAUCUUUUAAAAUCAUAUAUAUGCUGGUGACAUUAUGAUGAUAUUCUAUACAUUUGAAUGCAAUAAUCAUUUUAUGUAAAAGCCAUAGAUGAUUAAUAUAAUGAGCCGUAGCAGCAAUAUAAUAUUUUCUAUUACCAUCGAUCCAUAAAUGAGAGGUAAACGAUAUAAUAUUAUUAAGAGUGAAAUAAUUGCAUAUGAGAGUAAAGAAAUUAAAGUAAAAACUUGAAUCUAUAAUACUGCAAGUUAAAAUCGAUUGAAACAAAUUGAUUUGAAACUUAAAAAUUUAACCCAUAUUUAUAUCCAAAAAACCCUCUCGCUUUUUUUUUUCAAACUUGAAAUUCAAAUUUCAAAUUUGAAAACUUCAAUUUACGAGGUUGUCUCGUAAAUUGGCAACUGCCUUAUCAAAGCAACUAUAGCUGUUGUUACAGGCAACCAUAAAGCAACCUUAAGACAGCUAGCUCUAGCUGCCGUUGCAGGCAGCUAUAAUAGCCGCCUGUAACUAGUUGCCUAUAACAAUAGCUUUUGCCCAUUUUUUUCGAAAACUUUUAUAAUUUCAUGCUAGUUUUUUUUUUCCGACUCGGCUCGUCACGGGCCAAAAAUGACCUGUGACACAAGCCGACCGAGCCACAAGGGGCCCACUCAGGCUCGAACUAGCCUCGGCUCGCUUCCUCCGAGCCACUUGAGCCUGUUUAACAUCCCUAGUCACGAGCCAUUUUUGGUCCGUAGCCAAACCAAGCCGAAAUAAAUUUAAAAAAAAAUCUAGUUUUAAAUUAAAAAAUAAUAAUUUAAAAAAAAUGGCAAAAGCUUCCUAUAACGGUAGCUUUAUGGCAGCUAUAUCAAAACAGUUAUAGUUGACAAAUUAUGAGGCAGACUUGUAAAUUUCAAAUUUCAAAUUUGAAUAUCAAGUUUGAAAAAAGAAAUGAUUUUUUAAACUAUAAAUACAAAGUAAAUUUUUAAGUUUCAGAUCAAUUUGUUUCAAUCGAUUUUAAUUUGCAAUAUUAUAUAUUCAAGUUUCAAUUUCAAUUUAUUUGCUCUUAUAUUCAAUUUCUUUCACUCUAAUGUUCAGCAUUUUGUACUAUAUUAGUUAUAAAUGGAUUUUACUAGUGAUGAGCUUAAUCAGUUAAAGGAUAGCUUGAGCACUCUAUUCGUUUACGAUGCAUCUCAAAAUGUUUCAAUUGAUUUGGAGGAUACUAAAGAGAAAGAAGUACUCGAGAUUAAAAGGUCGAAAAAAAAUCCUCGAAUGUUGGCAACAUAUGACACGUAAAAAAAUUGGUGUUCAAAAUAAAGUAGAUAAUCGGAAAGCAGUUGCAAUUAUUGUGGCAAAGAAUUUAGUUGGAAGCCCGAUUCGAGCACAAUGCAUUUGCGUAGACACAUAUUAAGGAAUUACAAAGCGAAACCAAUCGAUCUCGACCCGAAACAAACCGAACUAGUGUUUGGCGAUUCAUGUUAUACCUUUUUCAACUUUGUAUAUUCACAAGAAAGAUUUCGUGAAAGAAUGACUGCAUACGUGGCUGCAAGAGAAAUGUAGCUUACGAUAAUAGACUCAAUACACUUUACCCGGCUCGUGCUGAAUUAUCUCCAACCCAAGUAUUCUUCUUGUUGUAGAAAUACUCUUCAUUCGAAUACUAUAAAAUUAUAUAACAAAAGAAAACAAGUUUCUAUUAAAGGUUUAAAAACUUUUAAUAGUUUUAUAUCGUUUACUUCUGAUUUAUGGACCGAUGGUAAUAGAAAAGAUUAUAUUGCUGCUAUGGCUCAUUAUAUUCAUCAUCUAUGACUUUUACAUAGAGUAAUAAUUGUAUUUAAAUGUGUAGAAUAUCCUCAUAAUCCCACUAACAUAUACAUGAUUUUAAAAUAUAUCAUAUAGAAAUAUGGUAUACAAGAUAUGGUUUGAAGUUUUACUUUUGAUAAUGCUAGUGUAGGGAUGUCAACGAGUCGAGUCGAGCUGGCUCACGAGCCGAAAUUCUAGGCUCGGGCUCGGCUCGGGUAAAAUAUCCGAGUUUUUUUCCGGCCCGAGCCGAACCGAGCAAAAGCUCGGCAAAAAAAAUUAGGCUCGACCCGAGCUUUUGGCUCGGGCCUUUCCGAGUCGAGCCGGGUCAGGCCUGCUUUGCUCGAGUUUUGUUUGGUUUUGGAAUUUUUUUUAAUUAAAUAAAAUGGCAGCUUAAAUAAGUUGCCAUUUUUGGCAGCAACUAAAUUGCAACUUAUUUAAAUGGCAGCUUAAAUAAGCUGCCAUUUAAGGCAGCAACCCGCUGCCCUAUUUCUGGUAGCAGUGCUGCCUUUUAUUAUUAUUUUUUAAAUAUAUGCUCCGAGCCAACGAGCCACACGGGCCGGCUCGAGCUUUGCCCAACACCUAAAAAUGGGGCUCGGCUCAAGCCUCGAGCCGGACGGGCUCGAGCUUUUUCUGAACCGAGCCACGAGCGACCCGAGCCGACGAGCCCGAUUGCCUUCCCUAUACUAGUGCAAACAAAGUCGUUAUCGAAAGAUUUAUUAAUGAUCUCAACCCUACAUUUGGAAGUUUAUUUUUCAUCAACGUGUAUAUCAUAUAAUCAAUUUGAUUGUAAAAGCUGAAUUAGAACAUAUAAGUUCUCCUUUAAAUAAAAUUAGACAAGAAAUAAAUUCUAUUACUUUGUCACCAACAAGAAAGCAAACAUUUAACACUUUGUGUGCAGAGUAUGGCUUACAGAAGAAAUUAUUUACCACUGAUGUAACACAUAGACGAAACUCUACAUAUUUUAUGUUACAUUCGUAUAAAAAUUAUGAUAAAGUGAUUUCACUGUAUUAUAAUAGUAAGCAUACAUACGGACCUGAACAUAAUUUGGAAGAUUGAGAAUGGUCUAUUGCAUUUCACAUGAAAAAUUCUUAAAAUGUUUUUUCGAUGCUACAAAAGAAUGUAGCGGUGUUUAUUAUCCCACAUCUUCACUUGUUUUACAACAUUUUUUCUACAUUUUAUAAAUACAGGAAUUUGUCAUUUUUUGCUAACGUAGUCUGCUCUAUGGAGUUAAAAUUUCGUAAAUAUUGGGAAAAGUUGCCCUCUUUAUUUAUUUUAGUUUCAGUAAUGGACUAUCAACUUAAUUUGACUAGCCCAAAAGCCACUGUAAAGGGGAUUUCAAAUUUCAUGAAUGUGAAAUUAUCACAUGUGCAUAUAGAAUCCAUGUUAUGUGAAAAGUAUAAUUAUUAUGCUGAAAAAGAAGGCCAGUGUGUUUGUACUUCCCAAAGUUCUUUUUCAAGAAAUAUUUCAACAAAUUCAGAUGAUUUAUGGAAUUAUUUGGAAAGCAAUACAAGUGUUCCCUCAUUUAGUUUUAGUUCAUCAAUGUCUAGAGUGAAAAAUGUCAGUGGUACAAAUUUUGAAAUUCCAUCGGAGUUAGCUAGGUAUAUGCGCUUGGAUGUUUGUAGCGUUUUACAACCAAAAGAAUUACAAGAAUUUAGUCUUCUAAAUCAAUGGAGGUGUAACGAAAGGUAAUAUCCAAUCAUAUCAAAAAUCGCACGUGAUCUACUAACACCUCCGGUGUCUAAGGUAGCAUCGAAGGCUACAUUCAAUUUAGGUGAUCGAAUUUUAUCGGACGAAUGUUCAAGACUAAAAGAAGAUAUAUUAGAGACUUUAAUAUACUUGAAGGAUUGGGAAUGUGCAGAAUUACGUAUUCAAGAAUAUGUUGAUAGUAUAAUAGUCGAAUAGUUGCAGCAAAUCCAAACAUAGAAUGUUCAAGACUUGAGUUUUGGCUCACGAGCCAACUCGGCUUAUUGACAUCCCUAUUUCAAAGCCAAAAUUUAAGUUCUUUAUAUGGUUGGAAAACUCAUUGAAAUACCCUUCUAGCCACACUAAUGUUACUGCAUAAUUAUUAGUAUAAAGAAAGCAAUAAAUUAUCAAAAGAUGCCAUAAAAAUCACGUAAGGUUUGAAAACUUUACAUACAAAGUUCAUAACUCAAUUAUAUUAUAUAAUGCCAUAUUUAAGCAGGAAAUAAUUCAAGGAAUUCAACCUUAAAUCUCUAAUACCAAUGUAAUAAUUCGUAGCAUUCUUAACAUAAAUUUUGGGUCAAAAAUCCUUACUUGAAAAUAUGAAUUCCAAGAUCUUUUGAAUGGUUGAAUCAUCUUACUUUCCAAAUCUCCAAAUUUGCAAUUUCCUUGCACUCCAAUGAUCCUAAUCCGAUCACAAUAGAAGGAAAUUACUAUACACAAUCUAAGUGCCUUAUUUUGUGAGCUUUCAUGUCAAAAUAGUGAUUUUAUGGCCUUUCCAAUUUUGUUUAUAUUCUCCAUAUGAAUUUCACUAUUUUUCUUUCUAUCAUUCACUCUCUCAAAUGUUAGUCAAAAUUGGAGAUAUACUGGGAGUUAUGAGUGGUUAUAGGGAGUUGUAAAUUUGAACUUCAAAUUCAAAUUGCUCCCUGUAACCGUUUCAAUGUCUUGUGGGUCGGGUCAUCUAACAUGAGCGACCCACGACCUGUACUUUCCAACAGAACUUUAGACCUCAUUCAGAAUUUACUGGCAGGAACGUUUCCGGGAUCAAUUGUCCAAAUUUGAAAGUUCUAAAUGUUCCCUUGAAGUUGAUAAACAGUAGCCUAUGCGUUCUAGUUCUUCGUUGGUGAAUGAAACCGGAGCACAAGAAUAUGAGAUGGGAUAGGAUAAGAUAAGAUGUGGUGGUGCUGGCCAUUUGAUUAGUUUCCAACAGAAUUCAGAAGCUACAACUUAUACAAAAAAAUGGGUUUGCUAUCUGACCUGCACAAUAGCCUUUCAGUUUCGCCUAUCAAGAAGCUUAACCAUCAAAUUUUGUAUAAAACCUCGACCCCAGCUUGAAAGGCACAAUUUUUCAAUAAAAAUAUUAUCCAAGCAGAAAACGUAGUACUAUGUCUGAAUUAGGCAUAUCAAGAAUGGAGCAGAACAGCUUUGAAUCUUUUAGACAAUUCUUGCUAAUGGCAUGUCUUUGUCCAAAGACAUCUUUGGCACUUUGUCGACACGCCAUAUUUUUAAGAAAUAUGUUCUCCCACAUCUUAAGGACAUGGAAAUUUCCAUGACGGCGGGGGUGAGGGUUGUUUUGACCAUUUUAGUAAAUCCAGAAAUUUAGUUCUAUUGUUGGUGACCACAAAAAUAAUUCCGAAUCUAUGUCUGAAUAUGCAGCAUAACAUGAUUCAAAAAUGGUUCAAUAAGAAUACUCAGUUGUCGAAACUAAAGUACGUAAGCACAAAAGGAUAGGAGCUAAGUGGCAUACCGACAUGGGGGAUUGCAUUUUUCCUUCUAAAUAUUGAGUGCCUGCCAUAAUUGACGAAAACAAAUUAAGUAGGGGAUUGAGAUAAAGGUAUUCAUGCCUCUUUCAAGAUGCUCCCAAAUGUAUCGCCAGUCUUUGAGACUAAUUCUCGAGAAACUUGAUUUCGAUCCAUAUCUAACAAAGCGUUGCUGAAAAUAAAAAAAAAAAAAGAAAAAAAAAGAAGGGAUAUUAGCUGCCAACCACAGGUCACAUAUAUUUGAUUAAAAACAUAAAAAUAAAAUUUUAGAUCAAUAACAUAUGAAAAUAUCCCACCAUCUCAAAGCUUUACCCUGACAAGUUAACAUUUUUAGAAUUAUAUGCUAUUAAUUGACUUUUAGAGAUCAUAUAAGCUAGAGUUCAAAACUAACUCAAUAAGCACAAAACUUCCUUUUUCAAGCAUCCCUCGUACCAAACUGUAACUCAAAAAUUCUCUUAGACAAGUUCCAUUCUGUUAUACCUACUCAGCCAAAAAAUAAUAAUCCUAGUUUCUGUUCACAGAAACUUCAUCCCGCAUCACUAUUUUCCCUACUUUCUCCAUGACAUGACAUCCAACUGGGAAACAUUACCCAUUUCAUCCCACAUAUCAUUGUACAAAAAACUAUUAUUUUUUCCCAUUCACUACAGAAUAGAAGUCCCAAACUGAAAUAAACAACAAAAAUAACUAGAGAAUUUUAAAAUUAUGGUUUACCAAUGUGUAUUUUAAGUUUCUCUUUCUUUAGUUCCAACCUAGAUGUCAGAGCCAGUAGGAUGUCAUAGAAGGCCCAUUGUCACACCCCUCAUUUUUUUAGUCAAAGUCAAGCAAUAUAAUUGGUGAAAGUCAACGUCAAUAAGGACUUAAGUUGAAAAAAUAAAUUCGUGGGGACUUGUAUAAACAAGUGGUACUUGUUGAGGUUAAUUUGUGAGUAUAAGAACAAAUAGGUAAGUUUUAAAUUAAAUGGAAACAUAAGGGUUUAAUUGCAAACUAUGGCAAAGUUGAGAGCCUAAUUAUUGAUAAUUUCAUUUUGUCCAAUUGUUAAAUGGAAAUAAGACCCAUUUUCUUUCAUUUCCUUGGGUGAAACUGAGAAAAUUGAGAAAGAGGGAGGAAGAAAAAAAUGAAGAAAGAAGAAGAAGAAGUGGGUUUUCAAUUUUGGGGUGCUCCAUUUCUUCAAUUUCUCAUUUGAUUUUGAGAGGUAAGUGUAAGUAUAUUGAGUUAAGUUUUCUUUUAGGGUUUAUGGAAAAUUUGGUCAUAUUUGAAGUUAGCUAGAAUUAGAGGUUAUUGACAUUUAUUUGAGGUAUUAAACAUGAAUAUGUUAAAAAAAUAUAUGUAUUGAAAGAUUGGUGUUGGAAAAAAAAAAUAAAAGAAAGAAAAGAAAAGGAGGGAAACUUUGAAAAUGAGUUUGUGAAAUAGGUGCUUAUUCUUUGAUUUUCUUUGGAUUAUGUAAUGUUAAUCACUUAAAUUAUGGAAUUGGGGUUGAUUUCUCCAUUUUUAAGUAAUAAUUAUAAUCAAUUUUUGGACAAAUCCUACACAGGCGCUGCUUUUGAAAUUCUGCCCAGAAAAGUGCUAGUUUUGUCAAUUUUUUGGUGACAGAAUUCAAUAAAUAGACAUUGGUGCUAGUUUUCAAUAUACUGGAAUUAUAGUGCUAGUUUUGUCAAUCAUCUAAUUUUCUUGGAUUUCUAGUAUUCUAACCCAAUUUAGUGUUAAUUAUUUGGAGUUUUGGUGUUUAAAUAAUUUAUAAAGGAGUAUAUGUUGUUAGUGACUUUAAUUGGGAUUACAAGGUUGAAAAUAAAAUAUAUCAUGUUCCCAUUGGUAAAUUAAUAUUUCAAAUGGUAGGAAAAUACUCAAGGCAUCUUGGUAAGGGAAUAUGAUUUACUAGAGCGAGUGCGUAAUAUCAUACUUGAUAUUUGAAGUUGAAGUGGUGACGAAAAGAUUGAAACCAUGGUCGACUAUUACUUGGCGAGUGGAUAAAACUUAUUUUUCAGAAAUAAGUCUUCUUUAAAUUUUAAAUUUAUUUAUUUUAUAAAGUUGACUUCAUAGCAUGAUUUUCAGAAUAAAAUGGACUUUAUUAUCAAUUGCUUUUAAAGUUAAAUUCAGUUUAGUUAAAUUAUUUUAGUAGCAUGUUAUAUUCAUAUUAUAUGUUUCAGUAUAGUUAAAGUUAUUUCUACAAACCACCAGAAAGUACCCAGGUGAUUUUACCCCAGUUUGCAUUGAUGUGAAUGUAUUUUCAUAGUGUAUGACUAGUUAUAGUGAUUUUACCCGCUCUGCACUAUCGUGAAUGUGUUUCCAUAGUGUAUGACCAGAUUAUCAGAGGUCUUUGGGACCCACUCUCGUACACACAUAGGCUUUGGGCCGUGUACUAGGGUGAUUAGCCUUUGGGGCAGCUCUGCAUACGUAUGACCAGAUUAUCAACUAUCAGAUUAUCAGAUUUGAAUGGCUUGCCUUGUACAUCGAGAUUACUAUGUACAUGUGUAAGGCUAUUCAUUGGGUACUCUUUAUGGUGUGAUUUUACAGUACUUAUUCAGUUCUCAGAUUUCAGAUUAUGGAAUUCAGUUUUCAGAAUAAAGUUUUCAGCUUCUAGUAUUGAGCAGCAGCAAUAUUUCAUAGAUUUUAAUGAAUAUCAGAUUCUUUAUAAUUGUUAUACCUUACAGAUACUUAUCUAGAAUUUAGAACAAAGAAUUUUAUGAUGAAAUUAUGUUUAGUUUUAAAAGUGUUACCAGAUUUCAGAAUUUUCUCAAAGUUUUGAUAGAGCAAGAAUUUUCAGAAUAUAUGCAUAAAAGAAAAAUAUGUUUAUUUGUAAAUUAUCCACUCACUGAGCUUUAAGCUCAUAUAUUUUUUCACCUUUUUCUUUAUCAGACAGAAAACAGACAAAUUGAACAGCUUUGGAGCAUGUCGAACCACCGAAUUGAGCCACGCAUCAUAGGUUGUAUGACAUCUUUUAUCGGAUUAUACAUUGUGUUCUUUUGGGAUACACAUAGGUUAAAUCAGAAAAGUUCAUUAUGGGCUCAUUAGAUAUUUGGUAUCUUUAGUACUUUUUAAGAUUAUUGGUUGUAAAGCAAGUAAAUAUUGAUUUUCUAGCAUUUUAUUUGAAUAGUUUGUAUUUUUAAGGGAUUGGCAUACCCUGAUUUAUAUUAUAGGUAUUGAUUUGAGGAAAAUUGGUUAUUGUUCAGGUGGUUUUAGUUCAUAUUUUAGAGGAAAUUCUGUCAAAAUUCUGUUAAAAAUAUUUUUCAGUCAAGCAAGUCAAAGUUGCAUUGGUGGUGGGUUCGGCAUUUAACUGGCAUCUACCACCGACGCAUGACACAUGUCGAGUCAAUUAGGUUGAGUCGAGACGGGUCGUGUCACCCAUUCUGGUGGAGUAGAGCGUCUAGCGGAGGAAGGGUGGGAGAAGACAGAGAAUAGAGCUGCAACACUGCCUUGGUUGAAUAAUUGUCUUCCCAAAUGACAAAAGCCUCACUCUU